rnacentral:rRNA from 1 species
UACAGAGGGUGCUAGCGUUGUUCGGAAUUAUUGGGCGUAAAGGGCGCGUAGGCGGUUUCGCAUGUCCGAUGUGGAAGCCCACCUCUUAAAGGUGGAAUUGCAUCGGAAACUGCGAGACUAGAGUGCCGGAGAGGGUGGUGGAAUUCCUGGUGUAGAGGUGAAAUUCGUAGAUAUCAGGAGGAACACCGGUGGCGAAGGCGGCCACCUGGACGGUUACUGACGCUGAGGCGCGAAAGCGUGGGGAGCAAACAGG